rnacentral:rRNA from 1 species
UACAGAGGUCCCGAGCGUUGUUCGGAUUCAUUGGGCGUAAAGGGUGCGUAGGCGGUCUUCUAAGUUUGAUGUGAAAUCCCGGGGCUCAACCCUGGAAUUGCAUUGAAUACUGGAGGACUAGAGUACCGGAGAGGAAACUGGAAUUUACGGUGUAGCAGUGAAAUGCGUAGAGAUCGUAAGGAAGACCAGUGGCGAAGGCGGGUCUCUGGACAGUUCCUGACGCUGAGGCACGAAGGUCAGGGGAGCAAACGGG